CCUACGGGGGGCUGCAGUGGGGAAUCUUGCGCAAUGCGCGAAAGCGUGACGCAGCAACGCCGCGUGGGGGAAGACGGCCUUCGGGUUGUAAACCCCUUUCAGGAGGGACGAAGGUUCACCGGUGAAUAGCCGUGUGGAUUGACGGUACCUCCAGAAGAAGCUCCGGCUAACUACGUGCCAGCAGCCGCGGUAAUACGUAGGGAGCAAGCGUUGUCCGGAAUCAUUGGGCGUAAAGAGCUCGUAGGCGGUCUGUUGCGUCUGCUGUGAAAACCCGGGGCUUAACCCUGGGCUUGCAGUGGAUACGGACAGACUAGAGGUAGGUAGGGGAGAAUGGAAUUCCCGGUGUAGCGGUGAAAUGCGCAGAUAUCGGGAGGAACACCGGUGGCGAAGGCGGUUCUCUGGGCCUUACCUGACGCUGAGGAGCGAAAGCGUGGGGAGCG
rnacentral:rRNA from 1 species